GAUGAACGCUGGCGGCGUGCCUAAUACAUGCAAGUCGAGCGAACAGACGAGAGUGCUUGCACUCUCUGACGUUAGCGGCGGACGGGUGAGUAACACGUGGGUAACCUACCUAUAAGACUGGGAUAACUUCGGGAAACCGGAGCUAAUACCGGAUAAUAUUAGCUUCGCAUGAAGCAAUAGUGAAAGACGGUUCUGCUGUCACUUAUAGAUGGACCCGCGGUGUAUUAGCUAGUUGGUGAGGUAACGGCUCACCAAGGCAACGAUACAUAGCCGACCUGAGAGGGUGAUCGGCCACACUGGGACUGAGACACGGCCCAGACUCCUACGGGAGGCAGCAGUAGGGAAUCUUCCGCAAUGGACGAAAGUCUGACGGAGCAAUGCCGCGUGAGUGAAGAAGGUGUUCGGAUCGUAAAACUCUGUUGUAAGGGAAGAACAAGUACGUUAGUAACUGAACGUACCUUGACGGUACCUGACCAGAAAGCCACGGCUAACUACGUG
rnacentral:rRNA from 1 species